UGUUCGGAUUGCGUCGACGAUGGCGGUUCGCUGCCGUCGACGUCGUGAGAAGUUCAUUGAACCUUAUCAUUUAGAGGAAGGAGAAGUCGUAACAAGGUUACCGUAGGUGAACCCGCGGUAGGAUCAUUG
rnacentral:rRNA from 1 species